GACGUAGGGUGCGAGCGUUGUCCGGAAUUACUGGGCGUAAAGAGCUCGUAGGUGGUUUGUCGCGUUGUCCGUGAAAACUCACAACUCAAUUGUGGGCGUGCGGGCGAUACGGGCAGACUGGAGUACUGCAGGGGAGACUGGAAUUCCUGGUGUAGCGGUGGAAUGCGCAGAUAUCAGGAGGAACACCAGCGGCGAAGGCGGCGCUCUGGGCUGGAACUGACGCUGAGGAGCGAAAGCGUGGGGAGCGAACAGG
rnacentral:rRNA from 1 species